CGGCAACAGCUCAAAUUUGAAAUCGGGCGACCGCCCGAGUUGUAAUUUGCAGAGGAUGCCUCGGGGCAGCGGCCGGUCUGAGUUCCCUGGAACGGGACGUCGCAGAGGGUGAGAACCCCGUACGCGACCGGCUGGCACCCCUGACGUGGCUCC
rnacentral:rRNA from 1 species